rnacentral:lncRNA from 1 species
GAAGGAGAAGCCUUGAGUUGUGCAUCUUCUCUUGAUUUUACUGAGGAAAAAGAUGUGAAGAGGCAUUCUGUCUUGGCACUGAGCUGUGCUAACUUGGGGGAGAGGCUGAUGCAGGACCAAUGACCUUCUAAGAAGAGGAAGACACACCAGGCAUGCACACGCACAGAAAAGAAGACCAUGUGAGGGCACAGCAAGAAGAUGGCCAUCUGCAAACUAAGAGGAGAGGCCUCAUUAGAACCUAACCCUGCACCAUGAUCAUGGACUUCCAGCCUUCAGAGUUAGGAAAAUAAAAUUCUGUUGUUUAUGCCACCAAAUCUGUGGUAUUCGCUUAUGAAAACCAUAGAAAAUUAUACAAUACCCAACAAGCAAAUAGCAGAAUGGAAUUAAACCCAUAAAGGAUGGCUUCAAAGGCAAUGCUUAACCACUAUACUGCCUUUAAAAAUUGUCCUAACAGUUCAACUUCAAUUACAGAAAGUUUAUAAUAAUUAGAUGUUAAUACUUUUAUGCUUAACUUUAUAUUUCUAUUUCAAAUGCUUAUUUCCUUUUCAAUAGUUAAUAUUUUCUGGACAGCAAUUCUGGACUAUUUUCUAAAUUCUCUGUUUUCUAAAUUCUUAUGUCAUGCCCUCUGUCAUAAGAAUGUUUAUACCCUAUGAUCUUCUAAAAAUAAAUCCUUAAAA